rnacentral:tRNA from 1 species
UGAGGAAUACCCAAGGCCGGCUGAAGGGAUCGGGCUUGGAAAACGGACAGGCGCUUAACGGGUCGCGGGGUUUCGAAUCCCUCUUCCUCCGCCA